GCGGAGGAAAAGAAAAUAACAAUGAUUCCCUUAGUAACGGCGAGUGAACAGGGAAAAGCUCACAGUUGGAACCUGUCUGACCUAGUCAGUCCGGAUUGUAAACUGAAAAAGUGUUUUCCAGACCAGCCGAGUAAAAAAGUUCCUUGGAAUAGGACAUCAUGGAGGGUGAGAAUCCCGUCUUUGGCUUGAGCAUGGUCUUUUGUGUUGCGCUUUAAAGAGUCAGGUUGUUUGGGAAUGCAGCCUAAAGUGGGAGGUAAAUCCCUCCUAAAGCUAAAUAUUGGCGGAAGACCGAUAGCAAACAAGUACCGUGAGGGAAAGAUGAAAAGAACUUUGAAAAGAGAGUUAAACAGUAUGUGAAAUUGCUAAAAGGGAAGCGUUUGGAGACAGACUGGUUGGUCUGAAAUCAGCCUGGACUUUGGUCUUGGUGUACUUUCGGACUAUGCCUGCCAACAGCAGUUUGGUUUGACUGAAAAAACUAGUAGUAAGGUGGCUCCUCCGGGAGUGUUAUAGACUAUUAGAAAAUCAGUUGGACUAGACUGAGGAAUGCAAUACGGCUUGCCUGAUGGCCAUGAAGGGUGGAUUCGGACCUUUGUCUGAUGAAGUUUUUCAAGGGUUGUUAGAACUGUAUUUAGGUUGUUGGCUUAAUGUCUCUAAACGC
rnacentral:rRNA from 1 species